GAGUUUGAUCCUGGCUCAGGACGAACGCUGGCGGCGCGCCUAACACAUGCAAGUCGAACGAGCGAGAGAGCUUGCUUUCUCAAGCGAGUGGCGAACGGGUGAGUAACGCGUGAGGAACCUGCCUCAAAGAGGGGGACAACAGUUGGAAACGACUGCUAAUACCGCAUAAGCCCACAGCUCGGCAUCGAGCAGAGGGAAAAGGAGCAAUCCGCUUUGAGAUGGCCUCGCGUCCGAUUAGCUAGUUGGUGAGGUAAUGGCCCACCAAGGCGACGAUCGGUAGCCGGACUGAGAGGUUGAACGGCCACAUUGGGACUGAGACACGGCCCAGACUCCUACGGGAGGCAGCAGUGGGGAAUAUUGCACAAUGGGGGAAACCCUGAUGCAGCGACGCCGCGUGGAGGAAGAAGGUCUUCGGAUUGUAAACUCCUGUUGUUGAGGAAGAUAAUGACGGUACUCAACAAGGAAGUGACGGCUAACUACGUGCCAGCAGCCGCGGUAAAACGUAGGUCACAAGCGUUGUCCGGAAUUACUGGGUGUAAAGGGAGCGCAGGCGGGAAGACAAGUUGGAAGUGAAAUCUAUGGGCUCAACCCAUAAACUGCUUUCAAAACUGUNUUUCUUGAGUAGUGCAGAGGUAGGCGGAAUUCCCGGUGUAGCGGUGGAAUGCGUAGAUAUCGGGAGGAACACAGUGGCGAAGGCGGCCUACUGGGCACCAACUGACGCUGAGGCUCGAAAGUGUGGGUAGCAACAGGAUUAGAUACCCUGGUAGUCCACACCGUAAACGAUGAUUACUAGGUGUUGGAGGAUUGACCCCUUCAGUGCCGCAGUUAACACAAUAAGUAUUCCACCUGGGGAGUACGACCGCAAGGUUGAAACUCAAAGGAAUUGACGGGGGCCCGCACAAGCAGUGGAGUAUGUGGUUUAAUUCGACGCAACGCGAAGAACCUUACCAAGUCUUGACAUCCUGCGACGCACAUAGAAAUAUGUGUUUCCUUCGGGACGCAGAGACAGGUGGUGCAUGGUUGUCGUCAGCUCGUGUCGUGAGAUGCUGGGUUAAGUCCCGCAACGAGCGCAACCCUUACUGUCAGUUACUACGCAAGAGGACUCUGGCAGGACUGCCGUUGACAAAACGGAGGAAGGUGGGGAUGACGUCAAAUCAUCAUGCCCUUUAUGACUUGGGCUACACACGUACUACAAUGGCGUUAAACAAAGAGAAGCAAGACCGCGAGGUGGAGCAAAACUCAGACACAACGUCCCAGUUCGGACUGCAGGCUGCAACUCGCCUGCACGAAGUCGGAAUUGCUAGUAAUCGUGGAUCAGCAUGCCACGGUGAAUACGUUCCCGGGCCUUGUACACACCGCCCGUC
rnacentral:rRNA from 1 species